AACGAACGCUGGCGGCGCGCCUAAUACAUGCAAGUCGAGCGAGAAGACGUAGCAAUACGUUUGUAAAGCGGCGAACGGGUGAGGAAUACAUGGGUAACCUACCCUCGAGUGGGGAAUAACUAGCCGAAAGGUUAGCUAAUACCGCGUACGCUCCUUGGACUUCGGUUCAGGGAGGAAAGCGAUACCGUGGGUAUCGCGCUCUUGGAUGGGCUCAUGUCCUAUCAGCUUGUUGGUGAGGUAACGGCUCACCAAGGCUUCGACGGGUAGCUGGUCUGAGAGGACGAUCAGCCACACUGGCACUGCGACACGGGCCAGACUCCUACGGGAGCAGCAGUAAGGAAUAUUGCGCAAUGGGCGAAAGCCUGACCCAGCAACGCCGCGUGAAGGAUGAAAUCCCUCGGGAUGUAAACUUCGCAAGAAUAGGAAGAAUUAGUAGGGGCUAAUACCCUCUAUGAUGACGGUACUAUUUGUAAGCUCCGGCUAACUCCGUGCCAGCAGCCGCA
rnacentral:rRNA from 1 species